rnacentral:rRNA from 1 species
GAAUUUUCCGCAAUGGGCGAAAGCCUGACGGAGCAACGCCGCGUGAGGGAUGAAGGCCUCUGGGCUGUAAACCUCUUUUCUCAAGGAAGAAGAACUGACGGUACUUGAGGAAUAAGCCACGGCUAAUUCCGUGCCAGCAGCCGCGGUAAUACGGGAGUGGCAAGCGUUAUCCGGAAUUAUUGGGCGUAAAGCGUCCGCAGGCGGCCUUUUAAGUCUGUUGUCAAAGCGUGGAGCUUAACUCCAUUUGAGCAAUGGAAACUGGGAGGCUUGAGUGUGGUAGGGGCAGAGGGAAUUCCCGGUGUAGCGGUGAAAUGCGUAGAUAUCGGGAAGAACACCAGUGGCGAAGGCGCUCUGCUGGGCCAUCACUGACGCUCAUGGACGAAAGCCAGGGGAGCGAAAGGGAUUAGAUACCCCUGUAGUCCUGGCCGUAAACGAUGAACACUAGGUGUCGGGGGAAUCGACCCCCUCGGUGUCGUAGCCAACGCGUUAAGUGUUCCGCCUGGGGAGUACGCACGCAAGUGUGAAACUCAAAGGAAUUGACGGGGGCCCGCACAAGCGGUGGAGUAUGUGGUUUAAUUCGAUGCAACGCGAAGAACCUUACCAGGGUUUGACAUCCUGCGAAUCCCUUGGAAACGAGGGAGUGCCUUCGGGAACGCAGAGACAGGUGGUGCAUGGCUGUCGUCAGCUCGUGUCGUGAGAUGUUGGGUUAAGUCCCGCAACGAGCGCAACCCACGUCUUUAGUUGCCAGCAUUCAGUUGGGCACUCUAGAGAGACCGCCGGUGAUAAACCGGAGGAAGGUGUGGAUGACGUCAAGUCAUCAUGCCCCUUACAUCCUGGGCUACACACGUACUACAAUGCUACGGACAGAGGGCAGCAAACUCGCGAGAGCUAGCAAAUCCCAUAAACCGUGGCUCAGUUCAGAUCGUAGGCUGCAACUCGCC